GUGAGGGCGCGAGCCGUCUCCCGCAGAGUCGCUUCCUGUCACGGCAGCAGCUACUGCCGCCGCGGCCGCCCGGGGCCUGCGGGAGCCCUGGGCGAUACCGGGUGCCUAAGGCCUGGGCAGGUUUUGGAUCCACCGCGAGACAGGUAUCUAGGCUGUCAAGAUGCCGGGGCCAAGAGCUCGGAAAGGCCCUCAGGCCAGUGGCCAGGGUUUGGCAGCUGCAAAGCAGCUGGGGCUCUUUGUGGAGUUCAGCCCUGAGGACAUGCUGCUGGGGAUGGAGGAGACUGAAGAUGAUGGGGACCUGGAGGCUGAACUGCUGGCCCUCACUGGGGAAGGGGGGGCCACAGGCAGGAAGCCAGCACCCAAGGGGCAGGCUCCCCUGCCUAUGGCCCACAUCGAGAAGUUGGCUGCGGACUGUAUGCGGGAUGUGGAGGAGGAGGAGGAGGAGGAAGGGCUGGAGGAUGAUGCAGACUUGCUGACUGAGCUACAGGAGGUCCUCGGUGCAGAUGAGGAGGUGGGGCCACUUGUUGGUGAUAAGACAGCCAGCCCAGGUGGUUCUGAGGAGGAGAAGGGACCAGAAGACAUUGAACGUCCAGGGCAGACAGCUCUACUAACAGCUUCAGUCCCAGCAGCUCAGGCUGAAGGGCCUCGGGGGCUGCAGGCUCUGCUGGAGGAUCGGAUCCGCAACUACCGGGAGGCUGCAGCCAGUGCCAAGGAGGCAGGUGAAGCAGCCAAAGCCAGGCGCUGUGAGCGCGGCCUGAAGACUCUGGAGUCCCAAUUGGCUGCUGUGAGGAAAGGCCGGAAGGUCAGUGAGGAUGAGAUUCCACCUCCAGUGGCUUUGGGCAAGAGACAGCUGGCCGCCCAGGAUGCAGCUGACAAGAACCCUGAGGCAGAUGCCCCAGCUCUGUUCACCAUGGAGCCAGACAACCCCUCCCAGCCUGAGACAAGCUUCUUGGGCAGUCCUGGCAUUUCUGCUCCACCUGAUUCAGACCCAGACCCACAGGCCCUGUUGUCGACCCGACAGAGAGAGUACAAAUUGGCUGCCCUGAAUGCCAAGCGGGCUGGAGACCUAGACCGUGCCCGAGAGCUCAUGAGGAUUGGGAAAAGAUUUGGUGCAGUCUUAGAGGCCCUGGAGAAGGGGCAGCCCGUGGACCUGAAUGCCAUACCCCCAGCACCUGAGGACCUGAAGCCCCUCCCACAGGCUUCCAAGGCCCUCACAGCACCCUCAGUUGUACCUCCAGCAGUGGAGCGAGUGCAGCCAGUGAUGGCACCGGACACUCCAGCAGCCCCAGUGGUCCCUGCUGAGCCACAGACAGUGCUGGAUGCUCUGCAGCAGAGACUGAACAAGUACCGCGAGGCAGGCAUCCAGGCCCGGAGCAGUGGGGAUGAGCGCAAGGCCCGGAUGCAUGAGCGCAUUGCCAAGCAAUAUCAAGAUGCCAUUCGAGCACACCGGGCAGGACGGAAAGUUGACUUUGCGGAGUUGCCUGUUCCUCCAGGAUUCCCCGCCAUUCCUGGUCUGGAGCCCAUUGUGGGCACUGAGGAGGAUGCAGUGGCAGCUACUUUAGCCGCUGCCCAGAAACUGGCUUCCUUGGAGGAUGCAGCCCCAGCAGAGAAUGAGGAUGAAGAGGAGGAUAAGCCCCCAGCCCAGGCCCCGGUGGCCAAGAAGCCAGCACAGUCUGCGGUCCCUUCAUUCCGUGCCCUGCCAGAGACCAAGGCCUCAAGUUCUAAGGAAUCACUGAGUCCCUCUGUGCGCGAGCAGCUGGCAUUGCUAGAAGCACGGAAACUGCAAUACCAGCGGGCAGCCCUGCAGGCCAAGCGUGGCCAGGACCUGGAGCAGGCCAAAGCCCAUCUACGGGUAGCGAAAUCCCUUGAAGCUCAGAUCACCCAGGUGCGAGCUGGGCGACCUGUGGACCUCUCUAAGGUCCCUUCACCCUUGACCGAUGAGGAGGGUGACUUUAUCCUCAUUCACCAUGAGGACCUGCGACUCUCCCAGAAGGCUGAGGAAGUAUAUGCCCAGCUACAAAAAAUGCUUCUGGAGCAACAUGAGAAGUGUCUGCUAUUCUCCAAGCAGUUCAUGCACCAGGGCAAUGUGGCUGAGACUACCCGGUUUGAGAAACUCGCUCAGGACCGUAAGCAGCAGCUUGAGAUCCUGCAGUUGGCCCAGGCCCAGGGCCUUGACCCUCCUGGCCACCACUUUGAGUUGAAGACAUUCCAGACUGUGAGGAUCUUCUCAGAACUCAACAGCACAGAAAUGCAUCUGAUCAUUGUUCGGGGAAUGAACCUCCCAGCCCCUUCAGGGGUGACUCCUGAUGACUUGGAUGCUUUUGUGCGGUUUGAGUUCCACUACCCUAACUCGGACCAGGCUCAAAAAAGCAAAACAGCUGUGGUGAAGAACACAAACUCUCCAGAAUUUGAUCAGCUCUUCAAACUAAACAUCAACCGAAACCACCGGGGCUUCAGGAGGGUGAUCCAAAGCAAAGGAAUCAAAUUUGAAAUCUUCCACAAAGGAUCGUUCUUCAGAAGUGACAAGUUGGUUGGCACAGCCCAUCUGAAGCUGGAGCGGCUGGAGAAUGAGUGUGAGAUCAGAGAGAUUGUGGAGGUCCUGGAUGGAAGGAAGCCCACUGGGGGCAAGCUGGAGGUGAAAGUGAGGCUGCGGGAGCCUCUGAGUGGCCAGGAUGUGCAGAUGGUCACUGAGAACUGGCUGGUCCUGGAGCCCAGAGGCCUAUAAGGAGACUGUCAGUAUUGGGAGAGGACUGAGGUCAGCAACUGUGUGCAGGAGCACACUUUUCCCAGCUUUGCUGGCUACAGAAGCCUUUGUACAUAGUAAGGAAGAUGCUGCUACUUGAGCACCAAAGAUCUGUUAACUGUGCCUGUGCCUUGGUUCCUGACUGCUGCUGCACUAGCCUCCCUGCUUCCCAGAGCUCUCCAUGGAGGAGGGAAGUUAUGUUCGGGACUGUGUGGUGGGAAGUAAGGGUGAGGAUGGAUCUCGGGUUUGGUCCAUGUACCUACAACUAAAUGAUUGUUAACUGGAAGAAAAAAAAAUACAUAUAUAUACAUAUAUAUGUAAUUUUAUGUAGCCGUUUUUAUUUAAGAAACUAGGUCUGAUAGGGGUUUUACACUUUAUAUGCAGAGUAGUCCUCAGAGUCUUAAAUAAGAGCCCUGUUCCCUGUUACUUUUAAAGCCAGAGUGGCCGUAACAUUUGUUAACUGACAAACUGCUGCUAUCGCUUCCUCUUUUGAGAGAAAGCAAGGGCAAGCCUUGUCUUCCAUGGAUCAGAGAGAGGACUCCCUUCGUUCCUUCCCAAGACAUCCUCCUUUGGCUUUUGUUUUUCUGAAUGAAUGGAGACGACGGAGGGAUUUGUAGAUUACAAUAGAAUUAAUACCCAAAACUGCAGUAUUCUGCAUUUCUUAGAAAUAGGUUCAACAAAGCAUUCCUCAAGAUUUUUUAAAGGCUAUGAGUGAAGCAGAUACAUUCAGCUUACUGGUCACUAUAGUACUGCGUAAGCACAGCUCAGGGCUUGAGCUUUUAUGUGUCUUUUUCCAGGAUAGGGCUGGACCAUGCUUCUUGCUCUUAAGAGUGGAGCUGUUAGUGGAUAACAGAACAAGAAUGACAGAUGACUUUUUUCCUAAAAGCUUUCUGGCCAGUCUUACUUCUGUGUGAACUACCAGCAUUUCCACAGAUGUGAGAUUUAACCAUUGCAAUCAUGUAUCUGUGUGUCAAACAAGCAGUAAUCUAGAAUGAAAGGGAGGGUUGUUGACCUUCAUAAAGUGACUCAGAGCAAAGAGGGGUGGGUCAGGAGGGUUCCUGACCAAACCCAGUCUUCCCCUAAGGGACUGCACCCAACAUGGUCCUUCCUAAGAGGGCAGAUGGACAGCUGUGGGUGUUUAUCCUCAAAGGUUUCAACAACCAGCCCUAGGAAUUUUUAAACUCAGGCCUCUGCUGGAAAUGCCCUAUUCCAAUGUGAUAGGACAUUUUCUGUGCCUCAAAGAUUUCCCUUCACAACCUGUUCAACUUCAGUCUGUUUCAUUACCGUUUGCUUUUGGAAAACAGAAUCUCCAGGCCAAGGAAGGCAAGACAAAGCCGCCCACUGGACUUGGAAACUGACAUUCUUAAAAGGCCUUUGUUGUAGCCAAGGCAUGCAGGGGUCACUGGUAGUGGGAGGAGCCUACUCGGCCUCCUUGUCCCAAGAUUUGUCCUAAUGUAACAACCAAACAUCAGAGAUCAGUAAUUCUUGGGCAGUUGGGACCGAGCCCAAAUAGCUUUACAUUUUUAAUUCUAUCUAGUGCAAGACAUGCUUUCUUCAGAAUUACUGAACUGAACAAAAUAUGGAAUAAAUUUUUUUUUAGAAAUUUA